UUGUGGAAGCAGUGGGUUCUAUGACUAGGAGCUCAUUGUUCAACCUCUUGUGCCAUGAAAUUGACAUCUUGGUAUAAGGCAAUGCAGUGCAGGAUCCCAUGCCAAUAAGUCAGAGUUUCUCUUAGUCCUAAGAUGAUAAUGUUCUCAGAGGCCCUGCAGCAGACAAGGAAGACAAACUUCUAUCUGAGUGUGGACGCUUCAUUCUGUGUUUUCAAUAGGCAUCAAUUGAGAGCCUACUAUGUUUCAUCCCUGUUCUAAGACUGGUAAUACAAAGAUGAAGACUUUUCCCUAAAGGGGCACCGUCUCCCCACAUUCUGGUUGUGGCCCCUGCUGGCAUCUCUCCCAUGGAAUUGCUCUCUCCUAGCGUUACUUCAUGUUCUGAAACAGAAAGAAGUGAAUAGCCUUCUGUAACUGGAAUCUUUUGUAACUGGUUUCUUUUGUAACUGGUUUGUAACUGGAAUCUUUUACUCACAUAUUCGAUGAGUCAAUUAUUACAACUUGUUUCCUCAUUAAAAAAAAAAAAACAAACAGAAUGGUA